UACGUAGGGACCGAGCGUUGUCCGGAAUCAUUGGGCGUAAAGAGCGUGUAGGCGGCCUGUUAAGUCUUGCGUGAAAUCUCGGGGCUCAACCCCGAGCGGUCGUGAGAAACUGGCAGGCUAGAGUGCGGGAGAGGAGAGUGGAAUUCCUGGUGUAGCGGUGAAAUGCGCAGAUAUCAGGAGGAACACCGGUGGCGAAGGCGGGUCACUGGCCCGGUACUGACGCUGAGGUGCGAAAGCGUGGGAGCAAACAGG
rnacentral:rRNA from 1 species